rnacentral:rRNA from 1 species
CCUACGGGAGGCAGCAGUGGGGGAUAUUGCACAAUGGGGGAAACCCUGAUGCAGCGACGCCGCGUGGGUGAAGAAGCGCCUCGGCGCGUAAAGCCCUGUCAGCAGGGAAGAAAAUGACGGUACCUGACGAAGAAGCCCCGGCUAACUACGUGCCAGCAGCCGCGGUCAUACGUAGGGGGCAAGCGUUAUCCGGCUUUACUGGGGGUAAAGUGAGCGUAGACGGUCCUGCAAGCCAGAUGUGAAAGCCCGGGGCUCAACCCCGGGACGGCAUGUGGUACUGUAAUGCUAGAGUGUCGGAGAGGCAGGCGGAAUUCCUAGUGUAGCGGGGAAAUGCGUAGAUAUUAGGAGGAACACCAGUGGCGAAGGCGGCCUGCUGGACGAUGACUGACGUUGAGGCGCGAAAGCGUGGGUAGCAAACAGGAUUAGAUACCCCAGUAGUC